GACGAACGCUGGCGGCGUGCUUAACACAUGCCAGUCGAACGGAAAGGCCCUGCUUUUGUGGGGUGCUCGAGUGGCGAACGGGUGAGUAACACGUGAGUAACCUGCCCUUGACUUUGGGAUAACUUCAGGAAACUGGGGCUAAUACCGGAUAGGAGCUCCUGCUGCAUGGUGGGGGUUGGAAAGUUUCGGCGGUUGGGGAUGGACUCGCGGCUUAUCAGCUUGUUGGUGGGGUAGUGGCUUACCAAGGCUUUGACGGGUAGCCGGCCUGAGAGGGUGACCGGGCAAAUUGGGACUGAGAUACGGCCCAGACUCCUACGGGAGGCAGCAGUGGGGAAUAUUGCACAAUGGGCGGAAGCCUGAUGCAGCAACGCCGCGUGCGGGAUGACGGCCUUCGGGUUGUAAACCGCUUUCGCCUGGGACGAAGCGUGAGUGACGGUAAUGGGUAAAGAAGCACCGGCUAACUACGUG
rnacentral:rRNA from 1 species